GUUCUAUGGGAUUCAGUUGAUUGUAGUUUGAUAUUUAGUUGGUAAAAUCCAAUUCGGAAUUAUCAAUUAGAUUAAUUAGAUUGCAAUCAAUGCACUUUCCAUAGAGCAAAACUGUGACCGAUAGCGUUGUUUUUCUGUCGUAAUGUUGAAUGUGACCAAUUCUUCGGAAUUGGUUUUAUAGCUCAUUGCAUGGUUAAAUGUAAUUUAUCGGUGAAUACGAUUGGUUAAUAUUAACUGUAGUUUAUAUUGAUUUAUUAAUAAUUGGCUAAUAAUAGACUGUUGUUAAUCGGUUAGUGUAGAUUAUUUUUGAUGGAUCAUAUCUAAAGUCGCAGUCUAUAUGUAGGUUACCUACUCGUCCCGUCUUGAAACACGGACCAAGGAGUUUUAUAUGAUCGCGAGUCAAAGGGCUUUACGAAACCCCAGGGCGUAAUUAAUGUAAAGGUUUGCUUUCGUAAACUGAGAUGUGACCUAUGAUAUUUUAUCAAUGUGCAACAUCUACCCGUCUAAAGGUGUUCGCAUCUGGGCGGAGUUUGAGCGAUCAUGUAGAGACCCGAAAGAUGGUGAACUAUGCUUGUGCAGGUUGAAGUCAGGGGAAACUCUGAUGGAGGACCGCCGCGGUUCUGACGUGCAAAUCGAUCGUCGGACAUGAGUAUAGGGGCGAAAGACUAAUCGAACCAUCUAGUAGCUGGUUCCCUCCGAAGUUUCCCUCAGGAUAGCUGGCGUUUGAUGUCGUAGUUUCACCUGGUAAAGCGAAUGAUUAGAAGUAUUGGGGACGAAAUGUCCUCAACUUAUUCUCAAACUUUAAAUGGGUUCGAAGCAUGUCUCUCUUCAUUGGAGAUGUGCAUUGAAUACGAAUGCCUAGUGGGCCAUUUUUGGUAAGCAGAACUGGCGAUGUGGGAUGAACCAAACAUUUAGUUAAGGUGCCUAACAUCACGCUCAUGAGAACCCACAAAAGGUGUUGGUUGAUAAAGACAGCAGGACGGUGGACAUGGAAGUCGUCAUCCGCUAAGGAGUGUGUAACAACUCACCUGCCGAAUCAACCAGCCCUGAAAAUGGAUGGCGCUGUAGCGUGAGACCUAUACUGAAUCGGUAUCGUAAGAUUUUCGAAUCGAGUAAACGGUAUCGUGUAGGAGGGUGCCGUGAUUGCUAAGAAGCUACUGGCGUGAGUCAGAGUGGAGCGGUCACGGGUACAGAUCUUGGUAGUAGUAGCAAUUAUUCAAGUGAGAUCCU
rnacentral:rRNA from 1 species